rnacentral:rRNA from 1 species
CACGUAGGGCGCAAGCGUUGUCCGGAAUUAUUGGGCGUAAAGAGCUCGUAGGUGGUUUGUUACGUCUGCUGUGAAAACCUAGGGCUUAACCCUGGGCUUGCAGUGGAUACGGGCAGACUAGAGGUAGGUAGGGGAGAAUGGAAUUCCUGGUGUAGCGGUGAAAUGCGCAGAUAUCAGGAGGAACACCGGUGGCGAAGGCGGUUCUCUGGGCCUUACCUGACACUGAAGCACGAAAGCGUGGGGAGCAAACAGG